UACGUAGGGUGCGAGCGUUAAUCGGAAUUAUUGGGCGUAAAGAGCUCGUAGGCGGUUUGUUGCGUCGGCCGUGAAAACCUGGGGCUUAACCCUGGGCCUGCGGUCGAUACGGGCAGACUUGAGUUCGGUAGGGGAGACUGGAAUUCCUGGUGUAGCGGUGAAAUGCGUAGAUAUCAAGUGGAACACCAGUGGCGAAGGCGAGUCCCUGGACAACUCCUGACACUGAGGCACGAAAGCUAGGGGAGCAAACAGG
rnacentral:rRNA from 1 species